GCAGGUGCGAGUCUGUCAAAUCAAGCUUUAUUUGCAGAAGUGACUUUCAGUGACAUUUGCAGUGUUCGCCCAGCAACCUUCUUAAUCACAUUUUCACCUUGCUCAGCUUUAAAGACCAACCUAAGAGGGCUUUUCAGAGACACCAUUCAGACCUUCAGGUGUGGAUCAAAUGAAAUAUGUCACCUAUCAGCUCUGAGGACUUCUAGCAUGUCUAUGAGAACAGACACAGCUGAGUUGGCAGUAUCCUGGGGCUUUGACAGUGAUUGUCCAGCUAUGAAAUAGGAAGGGAAGGAGGAAACGGCCAUGCCCUAUUCAUUUAAAGGAACAGCAGGGAACACACUGUCCACCAUUACUCUGUCAGGGUCACCUUUAUGGAUGUACCGGCACAGAUACUAUCCACACUGUACUUCACCUGCAGGCACACAAUUGGGCUGAUUUGAAACUCCACCACUCCCAUCCCAACUGGCCGAGCAGGGUGCCAACGACGCUAUGGUCUCGAGGUCAUCACACACUAACAUCACUGAAAGGUACAUCAGGGAGCACAAGCCUGCUAAAGCUGCUAUGUACAUUUCCUGUGUACAGUCCUCUUGGCCCAUAUUGCUUGUCCUUGAGUGAAGAGCAUGAAAGCAUUUCUGCAGUCCCACCCCCACACCAAGCAGGAACUACAAGCCGUCAGAUGGCAAGAUAGCUGUAAAGACACUUUGUGUACAGUAAACUUGUGUGGUCUUUAUUAGCACUUGUUUAAGCAACAUUGCCCUCCCAAUGCAAUCUUAAUGUCAUCACGCCACAAAAUAAGUAGUGUAUCCAUUGACAUGAAUGUAUUAUUUUCUUUUGUGCCACAAAUUUGAAUCAGUAACAACCUAAAGCACAGUUACAGUCAUGUGUCAUGGGGAAAUCCUUAAUGUUUGUAAAUGCUUUCUUUUGGCAAAACAUAUAAAACAUAUAAAUGUUGUGUUGGUUUAUGAGGACUCUUCCUCCGGUUGUCAGGACAGCUUACUUGCAGUUUUCAGGACGGCGCACUUGCCUGCCUUCACGCAGCGAUGUCCCAGCUGAAUAUUAAGCAGCACCUGGUACAGUGGAGCUGGCCUGUCCACUUUCCUCUCCAGCCGCAUGCACACCUGUCUCCAGCAUCUGUCCCCAUCACACUGGACAGCUGUCCCCGAAACUCACUCUAAUUACAGACAUAUCUUCCCACCACCUUCCCCGUACAUGUCUGCAUGUGGUGCCUGUGAGGGUGAAUGGAAACCCAAUAUAUCAUGGGAAAAUCAACAUGAACAUUUUCUGCUUUGAUGUGUCCUUGGAGUGGCCUCUAUAGGCCUGAUAUGCUCACAACACGGUUGAUUGAUCGAUUCCAUUAUUUUCGAAAAUAAUAAUAACAGUAAUGCAGUACUAUUUUGUGUUGUGAUAUAUUGGGUUAUUAUACAAGCAAUUUUAUGAGCUUCUAAUGAAGGAAUGACGGUCGAGUUACUUUCCUAUCAGGCAGCCCACAUCAGCAGUUUGCCUGCUGCUAGCACAAACACUA